UCCGCCAGGGAACUACGAGCGCUAGCUUGAAACCCAAAGGACUUGACGGUGUCUCAGACCCACCUAGAGGAGCCUGUUCUAGAACCGAUAAUCCACGUUAAACCUCACCACCCCUUGUCUAUUCAGCCUGUAUACCGCCGUCGCAAGCUUACCCUGUGAAGGCUUAACAGUAAGCAAAAUGGGAAUAUCCCAAGACGUCAGGUCGAGGUGCAGCCUACGAGGUGGGAAGAAAUGGGCUACAUUUUCUGUUACAGAAUAUUACGAAUUACACCAUGAAACUGGUGUUUGAAGGUGGAUUUAGCAGUAAAAA
rnacentral:rRNA from 1 species